rnacentral:rRNA from 1 species
GGAUUGAUAAGUCAGGGGUGAAAUCCCACAGCUCAACUGUGGAACCGCCCUCGAUACUGUUAGUCUAGAGUAUAGUUGAAGUUGGCGGAAUGUGUCAUGUAGCGGUGAAAUGCUUAGAUAUGACACAGAACACCGAUCGCGAAGGCAGCUAGCUAAGCUAUAACUGACGCUCAUGCACGAAAGCGUGGGGAUCAAACAGGAUUAGAUACCCUGGUAGUCCACGCUGUAAACGAUGAUUACUCGAUGUUGGCGAUACACAGUCAGCGUCUAAGGGAAACCAAUAAGUAAUCCACCUGGGGAGUACGAUCGCAAGAUUGAAACUCAAAGGAAUUGACGGGGGCCCGCACAAGCGGAGGAGCAUGUGGUUUAAUUCGAUGAUACGCGAGGAACCUUACCUGGGCUAGAACGUAGAGAGACUAUAGGAGAAAUCUUAUAUCCCUUCGGGGCUGUCUACGAGGUGCUGCAUGGUUGUCGUCAGCUCGUGCCGUGAGGUGUCGGGUUAAGUCCCAUAACGAGCGCAACCCCUAUCUUUAGUUGCCAACAGGUCAAGCUGGGGACUCUAAAGAAACUGCCUACGCAAGUAGUGAGGAAGGCGGGGAUGACGUCAAAUCAGCACGGCCCUUACGUCCAGGGCUACACACGUGCUACAAUGGCCGAUACAGAGGGCAGCUACCUGGUGACAGGAUGCAAAUCUCCAAAGUCGGUCUCAGUUCGGAUCGGAGUCUGCAACCCGACUCCGUGAAGUUGGAUUCGCUAGUAAUCGCGCAUCAGCCAUGGCGCGGUGAAUACGUUCCCGGGCCUUGUACACACCGCCCGUAAU